rnacentral:rRNA from 1 species
AUUGAACGCUGGCGGAAUGCUUUACACAUGCAAGUCGAACGGCAGCACGGGUGCUUGCACCUGGUGGCGAGUGGCGAACGGGUGAGUAAUACAUCGGAACGUACCCAGUCGUGGGGGAUAACGUAGCGAAAGUUACGCUAAUACCGCAUACGACCUGAGGGAGAAAGCGGGGGACCGUAAGGCCUCGCGCGAUUGGAGCGGCCGAUGGCGGAUUAGCUAGUUGGGGGGGUAAAGGCCUACCAAGGCGACGAUCCGUAGCGGGUCUGAGAGGACGGCCCGCCACACUGGAACUGAGACACGGUCCAGACUCCUGCGGGAGGCAGCAGUGGGGAAUUUUGGACAAUGGGCGAAAGCCUGAUCCAGCCAUUCCGCGUGAGUGAAGAAGGCCUGCGGGUUGUAAAGCUCUUUCGGCAGGGAAGAAACGGCUUGGGAUAAUUCCCCGGGCUAAUGACGGUACCUGAAGAAGAAGCACCGGCUAACUACGUGCCAGCCGCCGCAGUAA